rnacentral:tRNA from 1 species
GCAGUUAUGGCCGAAUUGUUGGCGUGUGACUAGAAAUCUAAUCUUCUCUGGGGUCGCAGGUUCGAAUCCUGCUAACUGCG